GACGAACGCUGGCGGCGUGCUUAACACAUGCAAGUCGAACGGAAAGGCCCUGCUUGCAGGGUGCUCGAGUGGCGAACGGGUGAGUAACACGUGGGUGAUCUGCCCCUUACUUUGGGAUAAGCCUGGGAAACUGGGUCUAAUACUGGAUAGGACCAUGCUGUAGGUGGUGUGGUGGAAAGAUUAGUUUCGGUAAGGGAUGAGCUCGCGGCCUAUCAGCUUGUUGGUGGGGUAAUGGCCUACCAAGGCGUCGACGGGUAGCCGGCCUGAGAGGGUGGACGGCCAGAUUGGGACUGAGAUACGGCCCAGACUCCUACGGGAGGCAGCAGUGGGGAAUAUUGCACAAUGGGCGCAAGCCUGAUGCAGCGACGCCGCGUGGGGGAUGACGGCCUUCGGGUUGUAAACUCCUUUCAGCCAUGACGAAGCCCUUGUGGUGACGGUAGUGGUAGAAGAAGCACCGGCUAACUACGUG
rnacentral:rRNA from 1 species